UGCAACUCGUGAUCGUACAUUGCCUUCUUCGAGGGGUUGGAGAACACCAUCCAAGCCUCAGAAACGAGCCUAAAAGCAUGAUCUGCAAAAGAAAGCCUAUUCCUGGUAGGAUUCAACAACAAAGCAAGCUUACGGUACUGAGUCGCGACGAGUUCCAUAGACUGAGACAAUCUCGGGAGUUGAAGGAUCGCAUAAUAGUCAUGGCUACCCCCGCCGUUGUAAUUAAUGAUUCUCAACUCUCCGGCGAGGAGCGUGUCAGCGAUGGCGAUAAUUUGAUCCGAAAACUCCAGGAGCCUGGGGUCGGACUCUCGUGCUCUGAUCGCAAAGCUCUUGGCGCCCUGGAAAUCACGUGCGGUGAGAAGCUUCUCCGCUAUGGUAAGCCACCGCUCCGCUUCUAUCCUGUAGCUGCCACCGUCCAUUUCCCUUUCUCUAACUUUCUCUCUCAACACUUUUUCUCCAAUAUUUAUUUAUUUAUUUAUUUAUUUUUGCGGUCAAGGAAGGAGAGGAAGAGGGCAAAAGGACGAUGAGCUUUUUUGAGUGGACGAAAAAAGACUGUACUUCUCAAGAAAUUACAACAAUUUCAUUCCCUUGACUAGG
rnacentral:misc_RNA from 1 species